UGUCACCACCCAUCUCUGGCAGUUGGGGAGGGGGUUAUGACUUCAUUUCAGCAGUGGCGUCUCUCCUGGAUUAGAUGGGAACUCUCUGGGAAGCUUCCUACAGCAGCUGCUUUCACGCAGGGAAACAGGCUGCACUAAGGUGCUUGAUCCUUCUGAGGAAGCUAAGGCCAGGCUGGGGUGAGGCCCUCACUUCAUCUAGCAACUACGCUGUGCCCAGCAGCGCCAGCCCAACACUCGCAUGCCCUUCUCGGAGCUCGCCUGCAUCUACUCGGCCCUCAUCCUGCUCCAGGAUGAGGUGACGGUCACAUGGAGGAUAAGAGCAAUGCCCUCAUUAAAGGCCGGUGUAAGUGUUGAACUUUUAGGGCCGGGCUUGUUUGCAAAGGCCCUGGCCAAUGUCAACAUCAGGAGCCCCAUCUGCAAUAUAGGGGCUGGUGGACCUGCCCCAGCAGCUGGACCUGGCCCCCUCCCCUCCCCCUACAGCACAGCUGCCCCAGCCGAGGAGGAGGUGGAAGCAAAGAAGAGUCAGAGGAGUCUGAUGAUGACAUGGGCUUUGGUCUUUCCAACUAA